rnacentral:rRNA from 1 species
UACGUAGGGUGCGAGCGUUAAUCGGAAUUACUGGGCGUAAAGCGCGUGUAGGCGGCCAGGUAGGUCCGAUGUGAAAUCUGGAGGCUCAACCUCCAGCGGUCAUUGGAAACCAUCUGGCUAGAGUCCGGAAGAGGAGAGUGGAAUUCCUGGUGUAGCGGUGAAAUGCGCAGAUAUCAGGAAGAACACCAAUGGCGAAGGCAGCUCUCUGGGACGGUACUGACGCUGAGACGCGAAAGCGUGGGGAGCGAACAGG